AGUGAACGCUGGCGGCAGGCCUAAUACAUGCAAGUCGAACGGCAGCACAGCAGAGCUUGCUCUGUGGGUGGCGAGUGGCGGACGGGUGAGGAAUACAUGGGAAUCUGCCCAGUCGUGGGGGAUAACGUAUGGAAACGUACGCUAAUACCGCAUGCGCCCUUUGGGGGAAAGCCGGGGACCUUCGGGCCUGGCGCGAUUGGAUGAGCCCAUGUUCGAUUAGCUAGUUGGCGGGGUAAAGGCCCACCAAGGCGACGAUCGAUAGCUGGUCUGAGAGGAUGAUCAGCCACACUGAGACUGAGACACGGCCCAGACUCCUACGGGAGGCAGCAGUAGGGAAUAGUAGACAAUGGGCGCAAGCCUGAUCCAGCCAUGCCGCGUGAGUGAAGAAGGCCCUCGGGUUGUAAAGCUCUUUUGUCCGGAAAGAAAAGCAUUCGGUUAAUACCCGGGUGUUCUGACGGUACCGGAAGAAUAAGCACCGGCUAACUUCGUG
rnacentral:rRNA from 1 species